ACCAGUCUUGGUGGUGUGUGUCUAUAGUCCUAGCUACUCAAGAGUCUGAGGCAGGCAGAUCACUUGAGCCCAUGAGUUCUGGGCUAUAGUGUGCUAUGCUGACUGGGUGUCUGCACUAAGUACAGCAUCAAAUAUGGUGUCCUCCCAGGAGCAGGAGACCACCAGUUUGCCUAAGGAGUGAAUUGGCCCGAGUCGUAAAUGGAGCAGGUCAAAACUCCUGUGCUCAUCAGUAGCAGGAUUGCACUCCAGCCUGGGCAAUAUAGCAAGACCGCCCUCC
rnacentral:SRP_RNA from 1 species